AGCCCGUCUAGCGUCAACUGGAGUAAUCAACGACCAAUCCUUGCGAGAGAUGCUUGUCGAUGUCAGCCUAGGGCUAAGCCACCGCCGCCGUCCUCAUCGCCGAGACGCCGGUCGGCACCUGGCUAUGUCUAUGUGGUGGCUCAACCCUCUCCUCCGUCUCCACAACGCUACCUCCCUAAGCCGCCUCCCAACCCUGCUCCGUGCCGGACAAACGGGGAGGAAGAUGAGAGGAUUGGCACAAGAGGGGAGCGCGAGUCAAACUGGAAGACGGCGGAGACUUCAGUUGCCAAUCUCCCGCUCCCCCGACUUUUAUCUUUAACGGGGCAGACCUGUUGACACGGCAUCCCCAUGCGCACUUCUGUCUAAAACGGCAGCGGUGCUUCCGCUCUACAUCCAUGCCGGUAAAGCCUUCCCUGCACAUGUGCGAGGAGUAGCACUCAUCUAUCGUGUAUGUAUAUCUUGCUACAAUCUCUGCAAUAGCUCUUUACUAGGUGUAUGGUAUAUUAGCAUUGUAUCAGCUCUCAGUAAGUAUUUGUAUUAUGAGGAUCGAUUUUUAAAAUAGACCAUGUGUUGAUCCCUAUUCAAAUUGUAUUUAAUAUUUAAAGUGUUCGGUAUAUAUAGCCAUGCUCAAAUAGUAUUUCUAUGUUUAUUCUAAGUGCACCAUAUUAGCACUAUGUAAAAAAUUGCUAUUGUUAAUACUUUCAAACAUAGGCCUAACUUGUUUCGUUGUUCAAGCAUCUCCGAUCGCCUUCACCUUGGCCGAGGAUGAUGGCACUCUAUGUUUUUGUGUGUGUGUUAAUGUUAGGUGUGAUAGUGAAGGUGCAUGAUGCCGAUACAUGAAGGCUCUCAUUUACCGUCAAAGCAGCGACAUGAUUAUAUGAAAGGUCUGUGGUUAGAGUCAACCUCUUCUGACUUAGCUGCCCAGUAACCAAACUUUGCCUUCUUGCGGAUAUGAGACAUCCUGGUGUGAUCACCUAUAUAUUGAUAUAUGUUUGCACAACACUGGAAGAAAGGUAUCAACUUGCGGUCUUGGCCGUGGACAAUCUGUUGAACGCAGAGUUGGCAUUGAUGAUCGAGUCGGCUCGAUACGGAGAUUUUUGUCAUUUGUGAUGAUCGAGUUGCUGUUGUUGGAUAGUAAGACCAAUUGAACAUAUAUGGAUAACACAGGCUGUUUGAAUGUUUUUGUUGGAUCACGAGCUGAUGUAAUUUUUAGUAGAACAUAAUUAUUUUUUGUCAAUUUGCUUUGUAUUUUUUUUCAUGGAAGGUUGUAAGCAAAAUAUAUUUUGUGUUCAAUAAGA